UACGUAGGGGGCAAGCGUUGUCCGGAUUUAUUGGGCGUAAAGAGCGUGUAGGCGGUCAGGUAGGUCGGUUGUGAAAACUGGAGGCUCAACCCUCAGAGGUCGACCGAAACCCCCUGGCUAGAGUCCGGGAGAGGAGAGUGGAAUUCCUGGUGUAGCGGUGAAAUGCGCAGAUAUCAGGAAGAACACCCGUGGCGAAAGCGGCUCUCUGGAACGGUACUGACGCUGAGACGCGAAAGCGUGGGGAGCGAACAGG
rnacentral:rRNA from 1 species